rnacentral:lncRNA from 1 species
UAUUUUUUUACCUUCUACAGCUCCUCUUGGUCAGUAUUAUUGAGACAGUAAAUUUCACAACAUUCACUAGUACUGCUCCAAAUACCUCACUGCACCUAAUUAAAUUUAAGUGUAAUUUUUUUAGCAUCUUGUUUAAAAUAGCAAUGAAGUUAUUAACAUGAACUUUACAGUUCCAGAUCUCAUUUGAACUCCCUGAUGCAUUUUCUUCUAGUUUUAUUUUCAAGUUUUCUACCUUAUUACUUCGACAAAUAUUUAAGUAGCAAAGUACUGGCAUUGUUAAAUUUUAAAAAAUAUUUCAUUAAAACAGGUUUAACUAAAACUCACCUCCCUUUCAACAGAGAAAUAUUUUCCCAGUGAGAUCACAUGGUAUUUUUUAAAUUAGUUAUUCAGUAAUUACACAACUCAAUUAAUCAGCUAAUGUACUAGAAGAACUAGAGUGACAAGUGAGAUUUUAAAACCUACCACAAUAGGAAGCACUCCUUAUUCAAGGGAAAAAUGUGGGUUUGUUAGUUGAGUUUUUUCAUUUUAAAGAGUGCAUCCUUGAUUAACAGAAAAAGUUUUCCCUCUGUUGCCUUCAUACUUUACCAUCCCUUCCUUCACCCCAAAUACGUACAUCUCCACAGAGAUAAUACUCGGUCUGAUUUCCCAGCUCUCCACUUGCUUCCAGAGAGCACCGAGGGUGGCCACAGCCGUGUGUCAGCGCUGCAGGACCGUCACCCCGCAGCCGCUCCUCCCUCCCUGCCUGCCCCCGCAGCCACCCACGGGAGCAGCGCCCCUGCACGGACAGCCUCUACCCUAAGCCAUCGCCUCACCAGGAAUCCUGCAGGCUGUGUCUGCUUUCUGCGCUUCGUGAGCCUAGAAAAGCUUCUGUCUGUGAAGUUCCAGGCUAUUUGUCACCUGACUCUGCUUUUGAAUUCAAGCAAAGAAAAUUAUGCAAAAGUUCAAAGAAGGCUUUGAAGAUAACAUUUUUUCUAAGAUUUUUAACGUGAAAGACAAGCUGCUUUCAUAAUAACCUAACUUGGCUAUAUUUCUGUUUCAAGAUGAAUGAUAGAAUGGUUUGGGUUGAAUAAAACCAGUUUCAUCCUCCGAGUACA